CUGGAAGCUAAUCGAUUUAAAGUUUAGUCUGUUGCCACGUAUAUAUAAAUAUAUAUUCUGGUUGCAACGCAUCGUAACAUAUUAUCUUCUAGGUAAGUUUGCUCUGCUCUGUCCUCUGAUUACUUCAAGUCAUUAUUAAACCGCCACUAAAAGAACGCGCUCUGUAAUUCAAACUGAACACACAGCAGAACCAGAAGUUAAAAGACUGACAAAAGAACAGUUUAACUGAAAAUAACAUGACGGUCAGGUAUAGUCAAAAAAUAAAAUCAGGCUUUAUAUUUUGAAAUCACGCAUACGAAGUCAGUCAUGGCUGAUGUAGGAUCAACUGUAGAUUUCAAGUCACAUAGCUUAGAAAUGAGCAACUAAGCCAAACGGCUGUGUAAAUCACUUCAUGAACCCAGCCGAUAAAUCGACGACAAUCCGGCCUGACAUGAGAAUAAUCUACAACUCUGGUUCUGUUCGUCGUUGGACUGGUCUUCCCUGAAAAUUUCUGAGUAAAAAAUUCCCUAGAUUUUUAGAGCUGGAUCUCUGUCUCGUGGCAAUGCGUAUAUACCUUAAUAUUUUCAGUUGAUGACUUGAACUUGCGUGAAAAAAAGAAAUAGACACAAUACUUAAUUGUAAAGCUUCAGUCGGCUCGGAAUUGUAGUAAUUAUAAUAACAGUAGUUAACCAACCAACUUUUUCCGCAAACGAGAGCCUUGCAUACAAUGUCUUUUUAUCAUUUUACUCAUAAAAUGUCAGAAAAAACAAGGCGGUAAAAACCUGUAAAACUACGCCCUCAAGGAACUUGAAUUCAGUUCAGUCACUGAGCCAAUAAAGGAUCUUUUCUCAGGAAUUGAAGAUAAAAGAAUUGGAAAGUGACAUCAUUUUUGCUCUGGGUAUCGGGGGUAAAACGGAAUUGAUAUGAGUUUGUUUCAGUUUUUCAUUGAGAUAAACUGGUCUAAUAUAAUACCGCCAGAGUGUGGAUGUAAACGCCCUUUCUUUUUCUGUAUCUGCAAAAAAUCAUACCUAUCUAACAUGGAAUCGAUCAGGUGGGUGGAAUGGGAUAUAUAUAUGUAUGCGCGUUUUCCGACAGCAUGACUUUGAGAGCAGUUCCAAGAGUCGUUUCCCACUUCGUCCAGUGUCCGCCAGAAGGAAACUCCAAGCGAAAGAAAAGGUACGACCUCCUGGACGCUUCUUUCGGUUUUCCGCUCUCAUUUUCCCCUUCUAUGCUCGCUUUUAAGUCUCUUGCUUUCUUUCUUUAAGUUAUGGAGCGGCCUACACAUCUUUGAUUGAGUUAUAUGGUAAUCUUCUUUUAAGGAUAAUCGUACAAACAGAUCUAGAAAAGCCAAGAAAGCCGCGGAUUAUACCCGCAGUUCAUGUGCUCGGAACUUGAGACCCACGCCUUCAUUUUGUGUUAUUAGCUGGCUAUACUUCUAUUUGCGUUAAGAUCGUUAAUGGUUACCGCAAAAUAAUAAGAAUGUCACUUGGAGUGAUUAGUGGGUACCACAACAAUUAAAAAGCGUGGGGUAUG